AGUUCACUCUCUAUUCUGUGAAUGCUAGCUUCCCUACAGCAUGUCCAGCGAGAGUAUCUCAUGCCCAAAAUCUUAUAUCCUCAGCAGCUUGGGAAUAACAGAAAAGACAGCAUGGCACCUGUGGAGCUGAGAGGAGAUGGCAGCCAUAGCAACUUGAGGAAGAGAGGUAAUGAUAACGCCCGCCCAGUAGGCGUGUUGAAGAUUGGAAGACUAAUGUGAGCUAAGUGCUCGGCACAGCACUGGAAACACCGAAGCAUCAGCAUUAAUUCGUCUCUUGUUUUUGCACUGGCCGCUCUUACUAACGACCCACGUCCUUGAGGCUGCCGCGGGAACUCAGGAUGGCCUGGCCUUUGUCACGACGAUGUUCAUGGAAGAAUGCUCUCUUUGUUCCAGCUCUGUGAAACUAUGCUCCGAUGCUGAACACACCACCCUCCACUGGUGUUCUUUCUGUGCUAGGAACUCUUUCUCCAAGGAACUCCUGCUUCAUCUCUGUGUCCAAAUUAAAACGUCACUCUUGCUGGAAAAGCUUUCCUGAUCCCACCUCUGCCCCACGUGCCCCGGGUCCUCUCUUACAGCAUGGACCACUCACCUCUGUAUUUUAUUGUGUGUUUACACAAUCUGCCACAUGUCAAGGGCGUCCUCAUCUAUGGGUACUUUAAAAUGAUUUUAUUUUUGUUUAUUUUAAAAUGAUUUUAUUUGUUCAUUUGUUUUUACAACCCAACCAUGUUUAACCAGGGUUUCAUGAAGCUCAGGCUGACCUCUGGCCAGAAUGACCUGGAACUUCUUUUUUUUUUUUUUUUUGUUUUUUUUUGG